GACGAACGCUGGCGGCGUGCCUAAUACAUGCAAGUAGAACGCUGAAGGAGGAGCUUGCUUCUCUGGAUGAGUUGCGAACGGGUGAGUAACGCGUAGGUAACCUGCCUGGUAGCGGGGGAUAACUAUUGGAAACGAUAGCUAAUACCGCAUAAUAGUAGAUGUUGCAUGACAUUUGCUUAAAAGGUGCAAUUGCAUCACUACCAGAUGGACCUGCGUUGUAUUAGCUAGUUGGUGAGGUAACGGCUCACCAAGGCAACGAUACAUAGCCGACCUGAGAGGGUGAUCGGCCACACUGGGACUGAGACACGGCCCAGACUCCUACGGGAGGCAGCAGUAGGGAAUCUUCGGCAAUGGACGGAAGUCUGACCGAGCAACGCCGCGGGAGGGAAGAAGGUUUUCGGAUCGUAAAGCUCUGUUGUAAGAGAAGAACGAGUGUGAGAGUGGAAAGUUCACACUGUGACGGUAUCUUACCAGAAAGGGACGGCUAACUACGUG
rnacentral:rRNA from 1 species